CACGUAGUUAGCCGUCCCUUUCUGGUAAGAUGCCGUCACAGUGUGAACUUUCCACUCUCACACUCGUUCUUCUCUUACAACAGAGCUUUACGAUCCGAAAACCUUCUUCACUCACGCGGCGUUGCUCGGUCAGACUUCCGUCCAUUGCCGAAGAUUCCCUACUGCUGCCUCCCGUAGGAGUCUGGGCCGUGUCUCAGUCCCAGUGUGGCCGAUCACCCUCUCAGGUCGGCUAUGUAUCGUUGCCUUGGUGAGCCGUUACCUCACCAACUAGCUAAUACAACGCAGGUCCAUCUGGUAGUGGUGCAUUUGCACCUUUCAAGCAGCUAUCAUGCGAUAUCUACUGUUAUGCGGUAUUAGCUAUCGUUUCCAAUAGUUAUCCCCCGCCACCAGGCAGGUUACCUACGCGUUACUCACCCGUUCGCAACUCAUCCGGAAAGAGCAAGCUCCUUCCUUCAGCGUUCUACUUGCAUGUAUUAGGCACGCCGC
rnacentral:rRNA from 1 species